rnacentral:lncRNA from 1 species
GUGAUAAGGCUGACCAUAAAAGAUACAUCACAAUAUUCAAUUUAACACAAAUGUCUGAAGAUGAUAAAGGUCUCAGCCCAUCCCACAUGGUUUCAUUAGCUAUACCCCAAAGGAAGUUCAUGAAGUUUCAGGGAAGGAAAUGAAACUUAUCAGAGAGAAUGAAAGUAGCCACAAUUAGUCCAGCCCAUGCAAUGUUUAUAACCCUUGACGAAUUCUUGGGAGCUGGCCAGAUGUGCUGCUUAUUUGUGAAGUACGGAAAGGAAACCUAAUUCUGAUCUUUUAAAGAUUAAAUAGAGGUAAAAUAUAAUUACUAGAUGGUAUGAUUAUUUUUAAAUUAUUAUCCUUAAAGGGAAGAGAAACUGACCUUGUUAAGCAUCUGCCAGCGUGGAUGAGGGCUUUAUUCAUUGUUUCAUACAUGGUCUUAAAGGAGAAGCUUCUGUAGGUUGUCCUUGCUCUUUCCCUCUGGUUCUCUUUCUUUCUGGCUAGCCCUCCUUUUAUUAGAAUAGACAGAGAAGUUCAUUUUACACAUUCCAUUCCCUCUCCCUCUGGAACAUUCCUCUAUAACUGCCCUCUUCUCUGACACAAAAUCAUACUCCUGUUAGAGUCAGCCUGAGUCCCUGAUUCUUCUAAAACACAGUGAGAAAAAUCUGACAUAGGAAAAUGACAACAGUGAAAGAAAUCUGACCUAACUGACUCCAUCUUGCUUUUAACCGCCAAGGUGUCCUUGUUCAUUCCUGGGUGUAGGUUGAACUAACUAUGGGAGGAAUUGAGUUUAUAGUUUAACUUUGAAACAAAGAUGAGAACAGCACGUUCCCAAAACAAACCCCCUCCUGGCUUGGGGACCAGCGCACCUUUGUAAAACUAACAAAGUAGCUACAGAUUACAAAUCAUGGCUCAGGCAUCAUGUAGCCAGAGGCCAUAAGAUUCCCAACCUCCCCAGUUGCUCCUAUGAAUAACAUCACUAUUGAAAACCUAAGAUUGGUGUUAGAGAUAUGUUUCAGUCAAAUCAGCAUUCCCCACUCCCUAGUUCCUGCCCACCAAAUUAUCCUUAAAAAAGCCUGGUCUCUGAAUUUUUGGGGAGACUGAUUUGAGCAAUAAAACUCCAGUCUCCUGUUAGCUGGCUCUGCAUUUAUUAAACUCUUUCUGUAUUGCAGUAAUGCUGUCUCAGUAAAUUGGCUCUAUCUAUGCAGCAGGCAAGAAGAACACAUAGGGCAGUUCCACUCCCACACCAACUGAGACUCCUUUCAACAUCCUCUGCUUCUCAUUACUCUAAUACAACAAUAAUAGUUUCCCAUCAGUACAAUGACUUUAUGUUAAAGUUUUCACUGUCUAGACAAAGCCAUAAGUGAUAUCCAGAGUUCAAUUUAUUAACAUUUUAUUAUGGGAGGGGAGGGUUAUCCCCAAAAUUACAUGGGAAGAUAACCUCCAAAAUUAUGUGGGAUAAAUUCCACUUGGUCACAGUGCAUAAUCCUUUUUUGUAUUGAUGGAUCCUAUUUGCUAAUAUUUUGUUAAGGAUUUGUGCAUCUGAGCUUAUAAGGGACAUUACUCUGUAGUUUUCUUUUCUUUUGAUGCCUUUAUCAGGGUAAUAGUGGCCUCAUAGAAUUAGUUGGGAAAUGUUCCACGCUCUGUUUUCUGAAAGAGCUUGUGUAGGCUUGGGAUUAGUUCUUUAAAUAUUUAAUAGAAUUAACCAGUGAACUAAAAUUAUGUGAAGUGAUAAAAUGGUUUAUUUUUAGUAAAUAAGUAUCUCUCAAAACCCAGAAAUAAAGUUAAGUAUUAAAGGCUUUUUGAUAAUUCAGAAUUAUAGUAUUUAAUAUUAAGGGAUAAGAGCAAAUCUGGAGGCAUCACACUACCUGAUUUCAAAC